GAAACUAAAUAGGAUUCCCUCAGUAAUGGCGAAUGAACAGGGAUAAGCUCAGCAUGGAAAUUGGGGCCCUCGGCCUUGAAUUGUAGUCUUGAGAUGUGUUACCAACGGAGGCGCAGAUGUAAGCCUCUUGGAAAAGAGCGUCAGGGAGGGUGAGAGUCCCGUAUGUCAUCUGCAGUUCUCUGUGCACGGUGCAUGUUCUAAGAGUCACGUUCCUCGGGAUUGGAGCGCAAAUUGGGUGGUAAAUUUCAUCUAAAGCUAAAUAUUGGUUCGAGACCGAUAGCAAACAAGUACCAUGAGGGAAAGGUGAAAAGGACUUUGAAAAGAGAGUUAAAAGUGCCUGAAAUUGCUGAAAGGGAAGCGAAUGGAACCAGUUGUUCUUGGUGAGUAUUGGUGUUGUCUAAAGUGAUGGCUUGCCACUUCAACGCAAGUGUGGUGGCAGGUUUUGAUCUGGAUGCGAUACUGCUUCUCGCCUUGCAUGUCAACGUCAGUUCAUAAUUGAGGAAAACUCUAAGGACAUGGUAAUUCGCUUCCGAGUGACUGAAUGUCCUCAGUUGAACUCAUUUUUGAACUGCUCUCUGUGUGUCUGGUAGCACUGCUUCAUGUGCUUGCCUGCGAUCUACUGCUCUGCAUGAAGGUUGUUGGUGCCAGGAGCAUGUCCUUGACAUUAGAACGAUGACGAAAUGGUUUUAUUCGACCCGUCUUGAAACACGGACCAAGGAGUCUAACAUAUGUGCAAGUUCACGGGCGGGAAAACCUGCUUGCGCAAUGAAAGUGACUGCUGGGAUUUUUGCACCAGCAACCGACCAAUCAAUUGUGAGAGGUUUGAGUAUGAGCAUAUCUGUUAGGACCCGAAAGAUGGUGAACUAUGCUUGAGAAGGGUGAAGUCAGGGGAAACUCUGAUGGAGGCUCGUAGCGAUACUGACGUGCAAAUCGUUCGUCAUACUUGGGUAUAGGGGCGAAAGACUAAUCGAACCAUCUAGUAUCUGGUUCCC
rnacentral:rRNA from 1 species